CAAAGGAAUGCCUGAACCUGGACAGUAGGAGAGCUGAGGCUGCAUUUCUGUUUGAGGCAUAGCUGGAGGGAACGUUUGAUGAUCUAUGCAAAAGAAAUUCUGGAAGGAAAUGAUUCUACAGAGACGAAAGUAUGUGAGGAAGGAUGCUAAAAUAAAGUCCUGGCAAGCCAAAUCCACAACACAGAAGAACAACAGAUCAAAGAUGAGGAGCGUGGCCUCGUUCCCAUAAUACAGCACACUGCUGAAAGAAUGGCCUUCAUCUACAAAAAACAUGUGCAAGAUGUGUCAAACAGUGACAGAAAAGUGUCUGCAUGGCCGUGGACUGACCUCCCAUGAAUGUAAUAUCCAAAACAUCUGUGGGACAGCAGGAACACUGACACCUGCAGAAAGAGAAAAAAAAGGAGCAAUCAGGAGCUUUUCUAAAAAACUACCAGGAAGGACAAAGGGGGAAUGUUAAGGACAUUUCCUUAUACUGUUUUGCCAACAAUACUUUACCACAGAAAACUGCUGCGCUGUCUGAGAAAUUACUUGAGAUGAUAAUAACACUUAUGCAGUGUUAAUAAGCAGCAUCAUAUGAUUAUAUGACAGCUCAUA